rnacentral:lncRNA from 1 species
CGAAGCUGUAAAUAAAAGCAGUACAAUUUUUCUCUCAAACUAUUUCUAAAUUCUCCGAUAGCACAAUGAUAGGUUCACUUAAUAGAUUGGUACAGACUUUCCUUAGGGGAAACUAAAGGGUUUUAUUUAUUUAUUUUUACCUCUCUGAGUCAAAAGUUGAUAAUGCAGAAAUAUUACACAAAUACCAUGACUACAGCAUCUUUUCUUUUUAUUGGACAGCAGUUGUGGUUUGAAAAGUAACUGUCUUCGGAAAGUUUUAAAGACUUCAUGGCAAUGGCUGAAGCUAUGUGGACUCUCCAAAUUACCUAAUGGAAUAGCAUAUAAGAGGACCCCAGUGGCUCAGUGGUAAAGAAUCUGCCUGCCAAUGCAGAAGACUCAAGAGACUCGGGUUUCAUCUCUGGGUUGGAUAUAUCCACUGGAAUAGGAAAUGGCAACUGGCUCCAGUAUUUUUGCCAGGAAAAUUAUGUGGACAGAGGAUCCUGGCAAGCUACAGUCCAUGAGGUCGCAAAGAGUCGGACACGACUGAGCACACAAGCACGAGUGGC